rnacentral:rRNA from 1 species
UACGAAGGGGGCGAGCGUUGUUCGGAUUUACUGGGCGUAAAGGGCGCGCAGGCGGCUCAUUUUGUCAGGCGUGAAAGCCCCGGGCUUAACCUGGGAACUGCGUUUGAUACGGAUGGGCUAGAGUUCGGGAGAGGAGAGUGGAAUUCCCAGUGUAGAGGUGAAAUUCGUAGAUAUUGGGAAGAACACCGGUGGCGAAGGCGGCUCUCUGGACCGAGACUGACGCUGAGGCACGAAAGCGUGGGGAGCAAACGGG